rnacentral:miRNA from 1 species
GCUGACACAUCCCUGCCAAUCUCCAGCAGACCCUCCCUCCCAGACUCUCCUACUUCCUGGACAGCAUCCAUGUUGAAGGCAGCUUCAACAUGGAUGCUGUCCAGGAGGUGGGAGGGUCUGGGAGGGAGGGUCUGCUGGAGAUUGGCAGGGAUGUGUCAG